CAAGCACGAGGGCAAUGAUCGUCGUAUACGAAGAAACUCUGAACAGCUAAUUCGGAACAAACUACGAUCCAUCAAGCUUUGCAACAAGUUGUGGGUCUAGCUUUUCCUUGGGAAAUUUCAUCUGCAUGAUUUCCACACCCAGGUGUGCUUCACCAGAAAUAAUAGAGCAGCUAAGGCAAAUCUCAUUAGCAUCCCAAAAGCACGUGACAAUGUGAGAGCAGAGUCAUGCUUCACAAGCAUUGAAAAUAAGCUGGCUUUGGCGAAGAAGCUUUCGGAAUCAGAAAUACACGAUAAAAACCUUGAACACCAAGGUUACACUCUGUUUGGUGACGACUCAAGUUCGGUUCUCACAUUAGAGUAAGGAGAAAAUAGUCGAUAGCCGUAAAACUUAUUAACAUCAGGCGAGGGAUGACCUUUACAUUCUUUUCCGCCAGAGCCGAUCUGAGUAU